rnacentral:rRNA from 1 species
UCUGGCUCAAAGGGUGGUUAAAUACACAAAUUAAAUAAGGCUAAAAACUAACUCCGCUGUAGCACGCAAUAGUUAAAAUAAAUACAACUUCGAAAGUGGCCUUACUAAAAUAAACUUGAACCCACGACAACUAGGAGACAAACUGGGAUUAGAUACCCCACUAUGCCUAGUUAUAAACUUUGAUUUAUCCGCCAGAAUACUACGAGCAACAGCUUAAAACUCAAAGGACUUGGCGGUGCUCCACACCCCCUAGAGGAGCCUGUUCUAUAAUCGAUAAUCCACGAUAAACCUCACCAUCUAUUGCCAAUUCAGCCUAUAUACCACCGUCCAGCCCACCCUUUAAAGGACAAACAGUAGGCACAACUAUAAACAUAAAAACGUCAGGUCAAGGUGUAGCAUAUAAGAUGGGAAGAAAUGGGCUACAUUUUCUAAAUUAGAAAAUUACGGAAAAGCUUAUGAAACUAAAGCUAUAAAGGAGGAUUUAACAGUAAAAAGAAAAAAGAGUGUUCUUUUUAAACCGGCAAUGGAGCGCGCACACACCGCCCGUCACCCUCUUCAAACAACUAUAAGCAAUAAAUAAACAAAGAUUAAAAAAAGAAGAGGCAAGUCGUAACAUGGUAAGUCUACCGGAAGGUGAACUUGGAACAUC